GAUGAACGCUGGCGGCGUGCCUAAUACAUGCAAGUCGAGCGAACAGACAAGGAGCUUGCUCCUUUGACGUUAGCGGCGGACGGGUGAGUAACACGUGGGUAACCUACCUAUAAGACUGGGAUAACUUCGGGAAACCGGAGCUAAUACCGGAUAAUAUUUCGAACCGCAUGGUUCGAUAGUGAAAGAUGGUUUUGCUAUCACUUAUAGAUGGACCCGCGCCGUAUUAGCUAGUUGGUAAGGUAACGGCUUACCAAGGCGACGAUACGUAGCCGACCUGAGAGGGUGAUCGGCCACACUGGAACUGAGACACGGUCCAGACUCCUACGGGAGGCAGCAGUAGGGAAUCUUCCGCAAUGGGCGAAAGCCUGACGGAGCAACGCCGCGUGAGUGAUGAAGGUCUUCGGAUCGUAAAACUCUGUUAUUAGGGAAGAACAUACGUGUAAGUAACUAUGCACGUCUUGACGGUACCUAAUCAGAAAGCCACGGCUAACUACGUGCCAGCAGCCGCGGUAAUACGUAGGUGGCAAGCGUUAUCCGGAAUUAUUGGGCGUAAAGCGCGCGUAGGCGGUUUUUUAAGUCUGAUGUGAAAGCCCACAGCUCAACCGUGGAGGGUCAUUGGAAACUGGAAAACUUGAGUGCAGAAGAGGAAAGUGGAAUUCCAUGUGUAGCGGUGAAAUGCGCAGAGAUAUGGAGGAACACCAGUGGCGAAGGCGACUUUCUGGUCUGUAACUGACGCUGACGUGCGAAAGCGUGGGGAUCAAACAGGAUUAGAUACCCUGGUAGUCCACGCCGUAAACGAUGAGUGCUAAGUGUUAGGGGGUUUCCGCCCCUUAGUGCUGCAGCUAACGCAUUAAGCACUCCGCCUGGGGAGUACGACCGCAAGGUUGAAACUCAAAGGAAUUGACGGGGACCCGCACAAGCGGUGGAGCAUGUGGUUUAAUUCGAAGCAACGCGAAGAACCUUACCAAAUCUUGACAUCCUUUGACAACUCUAGAGAUAGAGCCUUCCCCUUCGGGGGACAAAGUGACAGGUGGUGCAUGGUUGUCGUCAGCUCGUGUCGUGAGAUGUUGGGUUAAGUCCCGCAACGAGCGCAACCCUUAAGCUUAGCUGCCAUCAUUAAGUUGGGCACUCUAAGUUGACUGCCGGUGACAAACCGGAGGAAGGUGGGGAUGACGUCAAAUCAUCAUGCCCCUUAUGAUUUGGGCUACACACGUGCUACAAUGGACAAUACAAAGGGCAGCGAAACCGCGAGGUCAAGCAAAUCCCAUAAAGUUGUUCUCAGUUCGGAUUGUAGUCUGCAACUCGACUACAUGAAGCUGGAAUCGCUAGUAAUCGUAGAUCAGCAUGCUACGGUGAAUACGUUCCCGGGUCU
rnacentral:rRNA from 1 species